UACGAACUGUGCGAACGUUAUUCGGAAUCACUGGGCUUAAAGGGUGCGUAGGCGGCUACCUAAGUCAGGUGUGAAAUCUCCCGGCUCAACCGGGAAACUGCGCUUGAUACUGGGCGGCUCGAGUGAGGUAGGGGUGUGUGGAACUUCCGGUGGAGCGGUGAAAUGUGUAGAUAUCGGAAGGAACGCCAGCAGCGAAAGCGGCACACUGGGCCUUUUCUGACGCUGAGGCACGAAAGCCAGGGGAGCGAACGGG
rnacentral:rRNA from 1 species